rnacentral:sRNA from 1 species
UGAACCAAUUUAAUUUUUGACGUUGAUG